AUGUUUGGAUGCAAAGAGGGCAAAUAAAGGAAAAGAAAAUAGUCCAAAUGAACAGAGGAUACCUCUUACUCCCGAAAAAUAUGAAAGAGUAAAAGAUUGUCUAUAUAUCAAACUUACGGAAGCUGGUGUAACCGAUGAUACGCCAACUAAUGUACAAAUCUCAGGAGAAAAAGUUGGCAAGAAAUGCCCAGCGUGUGACUUUACAGCUAAAUUCAAACGUAAUUUUUAUAGUCACUUCAAAUCAGAACACGAUAUUAAUCUUCAGCAAGAAGAAUUGUAAUUUUGCUCAUCAGAUGAGUUCUCUCUGUUGCUAGCUACAACUCAAAAAUAGUCAAAAACAAAAUUUAUUUUGGAGAAGGACAAAACAAAUUAUGUGUGUCAUCGUUCAGGAUUUUAUAAAUCGACAUAUUGAUAAAAAUGAUGGUAGUCACAAUGUUGCCUAUGUAAAAACUCAUAUCGGUCAUGUAAUAGAUUUGUGUCAUCUAUUUUUAUUAAGUGAAGAGGGUCAAAUGUUAGCAACUAAAAUUGCUA